UACGUAGGGUGCAAGCGUUGUCCGGAAUUACUGGGCGUAAAGCGUGCGCAGGCGGUUAUGCAAGACAGAUGUGAAAUCCCCGGGCUCAACCUGGGAACUGCAUUUGUGACUGCAUGGCUGGAGUGCGGCAGAGGGGGAUGGAAUUCCGCGUGUAGCAGUGAAAUGCGUAGAUAUGCGGAGGAACACCGAUGGCGAAGGCAAUCCCCUGGGCCUGCACUGACGCUCAUGCACGAAAGCGUGGGGAGCAAACAGG
rnacentral:rRNA from 1 species